AUAAGCGUACACGGUGGAUGCCCUGGCAGUCAGAGGCGAUGAAGGACGUGCUAAUCUGCGAUAAGCGUCGGUAAGGUGAUAUGAACCGUUAUAACCGGCGAUUUCCGAAUGGGGAAACCCAGUGUGAUUCGUCACACUAUCAUUAACUGAAUCCAUAGGUUAAUGAGGCGAACCGGGGGAACUGAAACAUCUAAGUACCCCGAGGAAAAGAAAUCAACCGAGAUUCCCCCAGUAGCGGCGAGCGAACGGGGAGGAGCCCAGAGCCUGAAUCAGUGUGUGUGUUAGUGGAAGCGUCUGGAAAGGCGCGCGAUACAGGGUGACAGCCCCGUACACAAAAAUGCACAUGCUGUGAGCUCGAUGAGUAGGGCGGGACACGUGGUAUCCUGUCUGAAUAUGGGGGGACCAUCCUCCAAGGCUAAAUACUCCUGACUGACCGAUAGUGAACCAGUACCGUGAGGGAAAGGCGAAAAGAACCCCGGCGAGGGGAGUGAAAAAGAACCUGAAACCGUGUACGUACAAGCAGUGGGAGCACAGAGCAAUCUGUGUGACUGCGUACCUUUUGUAUAAUGGGUCAGCGACUUAUAUUCUGUAGCAAGGUUAACCGAAUAGGGGAGCCGAAGGGAAACCGAGUCUUAACUGGGCGUUAAGUUGCAGGGUAUAGACCCGAAACCCGGUGAUCUAGCCAUGGGCAGGUUGAAGGUUGGGUAACACUAACUGGAGGACCGAACCGACUAAUGUUGAAAAAUUAGCGGAUGACUUGUGGCUGGGGGUGAAAGGCCAAUCAAACCGGGAGAUAGCUGGUUCUCCCCGAAAGCUAUUUAGGUAGCGCCUCGUGAAUUCAUCUCCGGGGGUAGAGCACUGUUUCGGCAAGGGGGUCAUCCCGACUUACCAACCCGAUGCAAACUGCGAAUACCGGAGAAUGUUAUCACGGGAGACACACGGCGGGUGCUAACGUCCGUCGUGAAGAGGGAAACAACCCAGACCGCCAGCUAAGGUCCCAAAGUCAUGGUUAAGUGGGAAACGAUGUGGGAAGGCCCAGACAGCCAGGAUGUUGGCUUAGAAGCAGCCAUCAUUUAAAGAAAGCGUAAUAGCUCACUGGUCGAGUCGGCCUGCGCGGAAGAUGUAACGGGGCUAAACCAUGCACCGAAGCUGCGGCAGCGACGCUGAUGCGUUGUUGGGUAGGGGAGCGUUCUGUAAGCCUGUGAAGGUGUGCUGUGAGGCAUGCUGGAGGUAUCAGAAGUGCGAAUGCUGACAUAAGUAACGAUAAAGCGGGUGAAAAGCCCGCUCGCCGGAAGACCAAGGGUUCCUGUCCAACGUUAAUCGGGGCAGGGUGAGUCGACCCCUAAGGCGAGGCCGAAAGGCGUAGUCGAUGGGAAACAGGUUAAUAUUCCUGUACUUGGUGUUACUGCGAAGGGGGGACGGAGAAGGCUAUGUUGGCCGGGCGACGGUUGUCCCGGUUUAAGCGUGUAGGCUGGUUUUCCAGGCAAAUCCGGAAAACUAAGGCUGAGGCGUGAUGACGAGGCACUACGGUGCUGAAGCAACAAAUGCCCUGCUUCCAGGAAAAGCCUCUAAGCAUCAGGUAACAUCAAAUCGUACCCCAAACCGACACAGGUGGUCAGGUAGAGAAUACCAAGGCGCUUGAGAGAACUCGGGUGAAGGAACUAGGCAAAAUGGUGCCGUAACUUCGGGAGAAGGCACGCUGAUAUGUAGGUGAAGUCCCUCGCGGAUGGAGCUGAAAUCAGUCGAAGAUACCAGCUGGCUGCAACUGUUUAUUAAAAACACAGCACUGUGCAAACACGAAAGUGGACGUAUACGGUGUGACGCCUGCCCGGUGCCGGAAGGUUAAUUGAUGGGGUCAGCGCAAGCGAAGCUCUUGAUCGAAGCCCCGGUAAACGGCGGCCGUAACUAUAACGGUCCUAAGGUAGCGAAAUUCCUUGUCGGGUAAGUUCCGACCUGCACGAAUGGCGUAAUGAUGGCCAGGCUGUCUCCACCCGAGACUCAGUGAAAUUGAACUCGCUGUGAAGAUGCAGUGUACCCGCGGCAAGACGGAAAGACCCCGUGAACCUUUACUAUAGCUUGACACUGAACAUUGAGCCUUGAUGUGUAGGAUAGGUGGGAGGCUUUGAAGUGUGGACGCCAGUCUGCAUGGAGCCGACCUUGAAAUACCACCCUUUAAUGUUUGAUGUUCUAACGUUGACCCGUAAUCCGGGUUGCGGACAGUGUCUGGUGGGUAGUUUGACUGGGGCGGUCUCCUCCUAAAGAGUAACGGAGGAGCACGAAGGUUGGCUAAUCCUGGUCGGACAUCAGGAGGUUAGUGCAAUGGCAUAAGCCAGCUUGACUGCGAGCGUGACGGCGCGAGCAGGUGCGAAAGCAGGUCAUAGUGAUCCGGUGGUUCUGAAUGGAAGGGCCAUCGCUCAACGGAUAAAAGGUACUCCGGGGAUAACAGGCUGAUACCGCCCAAGAGUUCAUAUCGACGGCGGUGUUUGGCACCUCGAUGUCGGCUCAUCACAUCCUGGGGCUGAAGUAGGUCCCAAGGGUAUGGCUGUUCGCCAUUUAAAGUGGUACGCGAGCUGGGUUUAGAACGUCGUGAGACAGUUCGGUCCCUAUCUGCCGUGGGCGCUGGAGAACUGAGGGGGGCUGCUCCUAGUACGAGAGGACCGGAGUGGACGCAUCACUGGUGUUCGGGUUGUCAUGCCAAUGGCACUGCCCGGUAGCUAAAUGCGGAAGAGAUAAGUGCUGAAAGCAUCUAAGCACGAAACUUGCCCCGAGAUGAGUUCUCCCUGACUCCUUGAGAGUCCUGAAGGAACGUUGAAGACGACGACGUUGAUAGGCCGGGUGUGUAAGCGCAGCGAUGCGUUGAGCUAACCGGUACUAAUGAACCGUGAGGCUUAACC
rnacentral:rRNA from 1 species